AUUGAACGCUGGCGGCAGGCCUAACACAUGCAAGUCGAACGAGUGGCGGACGGGUGAGUAAUGUCUGGGAAACUGCCUGAUGGAGGGGGAUAACUACUGGAAACGGUAGCUAAUACCGCAUACCAUCGGAUGUGCCCAGCUGGGAUUAGCUAGUCGGUGGGGUAACGGCUCACCAAGGCGACGAUCCCUAGCUGGUCUGAGAGGAUGACCAGCCACACUGGAACUGAGACACGGUCCAGACUCCUACGGGAGGCAGCAGUGGGGAAUAUUGCACAAUGGGCGCAAGCCUGAUGGAGCCAUGCCGCGUGAAUGAAGAAGGCCUUCGGGUUGUAAAGUACUUUCAGCGAGGAGGCGUUACCCGCAGAAGAAGCACCGGCUAACUCCGUGCCAGCAGCCGCGGUAAUAC
rnacentral:rRNA from 1 species